UUUCAAUUAUCAUGGAGGAGAGGGAAACGUCUCAAGUCCAAUGACUGAGCUACAAACAGCAGAACAAACCUGUGUUUCUUCACAAGCCCAUUAAAAAAACGUGACAGAGACCUGGCCUAGCUGCACAGAGGGUGGCCCCUACUGGAAGCUUGCUGAAUGACCAGUCAGACCGGAAUUCACUGUGCAGGACUCUUUUCUUUAAUGACCUCCAUUCCUGUGGCUGCAAAGAGGAGGAAAAAGCCCUGGUCGGGAAAUCAGCACCCUGAAGUGGAUUCUGAGCUUUGAAGCUGAGAGGCCUUGAACAAAUGAUUAAAUCACUCUCUGAA
ensembl:lncRNA novel transcript